rnacentral:rRNA from 1 species
CAGUAGCCGCGGUAAUACGGAGGGUGCAAGCGUUAAUCGGAAUUACUGGGCGUAAAGCGCACGCAGGCGGUCUGUCAAGUCGGAUGUGAAAUCCCCGGGCUCAACCUGGGAACUGCAUCCGAAACUGGCAGGCUAGAGUCUUGUAGAGGGGGGUAGAAUUCCAGGUGUAGCGGUGAAAUGCGUAGAGAUCUGGAGGAAUACCGGUGGCGAAGGCGGCCCCCUGGACAAAGACUGACGCUCAGGUGCGAAAGCGUGGGGAGCAAACAGGAUUAGAUACCCCGGUAGUCCCUGUCUCUUAUAC